ensembl:lncRNA
AUGAUACAAAAGGCAUUUAGAGAGAAGCUAGCGAAUUGGCCAAAGGUGCAGUCCAGAGACGCUGAUGGAUUAAGGAACCUUGCAGAUUUCAUAAAUGCAUGCAAGCUUGCUAUGCCUCACGUAAAGGGACUACAAAUACUCAACGACUGCGAAGAAAACCAAAGAUUGUUGCACAAACUACCGGACUGGAUAAAUGCAAGAUGGAAUAGACAGGUAACAAAAACUUUGAUGGAGGGUGGUGAGUUUCCAAGUUUUUGUGAUUUUGCUUCCUUCCUCUCAUUAGAAGCGGAAGUUGCUUGCAACCCAGUCACCUCCAUUCACGCACUUCGCCGCACUGAAACAAAUAUUGAUAAAAGGAGUACAAGGGUAAUCAGUGGCAGUAGAGCAGGUGUAUUUAACACAAAUGCAACUGUACAAAGUGACAAACGGACAAUAACAAAGACACCUAACAGUUCUCCAUGCAUGUUGUGCCAGGAUGUACAUCAGCUUCACAAAUGCCCAGACUUCUUAAAGAUGUCUCUAGAAAAUAGAAAGAAAUAUGUGAGAGACAAUAAACUUUGUUAUGGCUGUCUGAAACAAGGACACAGUGCUAAGGACUGCAGACGCCGCCUCACUUGCGAAACCUGCACAAAGAGACAUCCUGUGUGUCUUCAUGAUGAAAACUACAGUAACGGUUUGCAAAGACAAACACAUGGGAGUACGGAGAAUGCAAAUCAAGGUAACUCACCUGAAACUGCUACAGCCAUGUCACUUAAUGUUGCCAGAUCAGAACAGACCGUCAGCACCUCAAUGAUAGUCCCAGUAUGGCUGUCAACCACCACCAAUCCACUCAAGGAAAAAUUGGUCUAUGCAUUAUUAGACACUCAGAGCGAUGCUGUCUUUGUGGAUCAGGAUGUAACGCAGGAGCUGCAGGCAGAUGUUUGUCCAGUAAAACUGAAAUUGACUACCAUGAUGGGUAAAAAUGCUGUCGUAAGUAGUGGAAGGGUGUCUGAUCUUUUGGUGAGAGGUUACAACUCAGCCACAGUCAUAAAGCUCCCCACGGCAUACUCCAAGGAUUGCUUACCUGCUAACAGGGAGCACAUACCCACAUGUGAAACAGCCAAACAGUGGAGUCAUCUACUGCCUAUUGUAGAUGAGAUCCCUCCACUCCUCAGUUGUGAAGUGGGUCUCCUUAUAGGUUACACCUGUCCCAGGGCUCUUGCACCUAAACGAAUAAUCUUAGGAAAAGAUGGUGAGCCCUAUGCUAUUCGCACGGACUUAGGAUGGAGCAUAGUAGGCAACGCAGCGCUUUGCAAUGAAACGGAUAUAGACAGCAGCCUCUGCCACAGAGUCACAGUUAAAGAAAUCCCUCACUCCACUCCAGCAGAUGCAAUACUUGCUCUGGAAAGAGAUUUCAAAGAGACGGACAGAAACGAAAAGACUGUAUCACAAGAGGAUUUAAUAUUCCUCCAGAAGCUUAAGCAAGGCAUAAUACAGACGGAAACAGGACAUUUGGAGAUGCCAUUGCCAUUUAGAGAAAAGCCACAAAUGCCAGAUAACAGACAACUUGCUGAAACCAGACUAAACCAGCUCAAACGCAAACUCAUGAAAGACGAAAAAUACAAGGAGGAUUACAGGAAAUACAUGAAUGACAUCAUUGAAAGAGGUGAUGCAGAAGAGACUGAUGAUAUCGGACUCCCUGGCAAGACAUGGUACAUACCACACCAUGGCAUCUAUCAUCCAAAGAAACCUGACAGGUUACGUGUGGUCUUCGACUGUUCCGCCAAACACAAAGGUACCUGUCUUAAUGAACAUUUACUGAUUGGCCCCGACAUGAUCAACAGUCUUAUGGGUGUUCUUGUGCGCUUCAGACAGCACCAAAUAGCGCUGAUGUGUGACAUCGAGAAAAUGUUCCACCAGUUUCAGGUCAAAGAAAGCGAUCGCAAUUACUUGCGCUUCUUAUGGUGGAAAGAUGGUGACAUAAACAGCCAACCGCAAGCAUACAGAAUGACAGUUCAUCUCUUUGGCGCUGUUUCGUCACCUGGUUGUGCGAACUAUGGACUGAAACAUUUAGCCAAAGAGAACAGCCUUGCAUAA